rnacentral:rRNA from 1 species
UGGGGAAUCUUGCACAAUGGAGGAAACUCUGAUGCAGCGACGCCGCGUGAGCGAUGAAGCCCUUCGGGGUGUAAACCUCUAAAAGAGGGACGAUAAUGACGGUACCUCUUGAAUAGCACCGGCUAACUCCGUGCCAGCAGCCGCGGUAAUACGGAGGGUGCAAGCGUUAUCCGGAAUCACUGGGCGUAAGGGGCGCGUAGGCGGUCUGUUAAGUCCGAUGUUAAAUCCCGGGGCUCAACCCCGGAUAAGCGUUGGAUACUGGCAGGCUAGACGGUUGGAGAGGCGAGUGGAAUUACCAGUGCAGCGGUGGAAUGCGUAGAUACUGGUAGGAACACCCGUUGCGAAGGCAGCUCGCUGGACAACACGUGACGCUGAGGCGCGAAAGUGUGGGGAGCAAACC